rnacentral:misc_RNA from 1 species
UUGAGUUGAGUUGAGUAUAGUAUAAAAGUAAAGAUAGCAAGGCAACAUGCGAAUGGAUAAAAAAUGCAUGAUAAAAUUAUAAUAUGAGCAACAAAGGACUCAUUACUAAUCUCUUAUUGAAAGAAAAUACUUUUAAUAAUUAUAAUCCCAAAUUAUGUAAAUCCUAAUAACUACUAAAUUCUAUUGAUUUAAAUUAUUAGUCCUAACCCAUUAAGAUUUUAUUAAAUUAAGAAAAACUCUCACCAUUAAUUUCCUCCAACACAAAACCAAAGCCAAAAUAAUCGAUGCUUUCGUGUAUGUCAAGUUUUCGCUUUUUGUCUCUCUUAUUGAGAUUACAAUAACCAAGAGACUCAUCCAACGAAAGCCAUUUGGAUAACGUGAACACCAAUUCCAACAAGGUGUAUAACAAUUUUGUUCAUGAAAGUUUAAUAAGUUCAAACUAUUCAGACUUUGGUGGCAAAAUUGCAAAGUUGUUGAUUUUGUGGUCCUUUUUAAUUGAAAAAUCAGGGACUUGCAAUUGCCGGCUAUCAGUUUCAAAGAAUAUAUUGUGAUGCAAAUUUUGAAAGAUUAUAAUAUUUAGAAGUGAAGACAA